GGGCGAGUAGCUUGACGGAAGCACCAGCUUUAAAUGAACCAUCUCUCGAUGUUCCAUUCAGCGUGUACGGAGGUUCAAAUCCUCCCUCGUCCA
rfam:Botryobasidium botryosum FD-172 SS1 unplaced genomic scaffold BOTBOscaffold_42, whole genome shotgun sequence.